CAGCCAUUGUCUGUCACUCAUUUGUGCCCAGAAUAUUCUAUAAGAGACUGUGGCAGCUGCUGACAUGGAAGUCAAGGAAAGCAGAGCAAAUUCUGUCUCUGCCAAUGCCAAUAUCAAUAUCGAAGUACAAGGAUUCUUCGAGAACACCAUCUGAAAAGCCCGAUUGGAUUUCAGCAAUUAAACGGGAUGGAUGGAUGGUGCCCAACGAAAUACACACACCUGUGUAGCGAUCAUUUCAGGUACUCUUCUGUGUAAAUCUCGACGACUUAUUCACCA